rnacentral:rRNA from 1 species
CGAGUCCCCGAAACCGGGCCAUUGAAGCAGAUGCGACGCUUCAAUGAGUAGGAGGGCGUGGGGGUUGCGGCGAAGGCGCUGGCGCGAGCCACGCUUAGAGCAGCCUCUAGUGCAGAUCUUGGUGUUAGUAGCAAAUAUUCAAAUGAAAACUUUGAAGACCGAAGUGGAGAAAGGUUUCACGUGAAGUUUAUUGCGACGUGAGUGACCCGGUCCUAAACGUAUCCUUAACUGGUCUGAACUGUCAUUUUUUGGCUCUUACGUGAAAGGGAAACAGGUUAAUAUUCCUGUGGUGCUGUUACGAUGUUGAGCGGUAACGCUUUGGAACUGGGUGACGCCAGCGAGAUGCGUGGAAAGAGUUUUCUUUUCUUUUUAACAAACAUGCAGUCAGCGGAAUAGGAUUAUCCUGAGAAACUGAGUGCUUGUUGGCAAAGUAGGUGACCUUCUCACCUAUCCGCUGCCAUCUCGAUGGUCCGUGAAAAGCCUGGGGACUAUUUUCAUCAUUGCAGUAGCCGUACUCAUAACCGCAUCAGGUCUCCAAGGUGAACAGCCUCUAGUCGAUAGAACAAUGUAGGUAAGGGAAGUCGGCAAAUUGGUUCCGUAAGUUCGCGAAAUGGAAUGGCUCGUCAGACUGGAUGGUAGAGGCUCGGUCCAUGAAGCGUGCUAGCCGACGGGACUGGCUAGCUGGCCCUCGGGCUGGCGGGCCGGGCCUGCCCGGCAGGCGCGUGGAGGGGCUGAGAUUGCGCCGGGCCUUCGGGACCGGUCGCGUUCUCGCCAUAACAAGCAGUCAAUGACGAACUCGUAGUGACCACAGGAACCCGACUGUUUAAUUAAAACAAAGCAUUGUGACGGUCCUAUCGGAUGUUGACACAAUGUGAUUUCUGCCCAGUGCUCUGAAUGUCAAAGUGAUGAAAUUCAAACAAGCGCGGGUAAACGGCGGGAGUAACUAUGACUCUCUUAAGGUAGCCAAAUGCCUUGUCGGGUAAGUUCCGACGCGCAUGAAUGGAACAACGAGAGCCCCACUGUCCCCGCCUACAACCCGGUGAAGCCACAUAAGGUGGACGAACAGUCCAUCAUCUUCCAUCGGGGAGAGAAGACCCCGUGGAGUUUUACUGCAGCUUGUGCUUGUAGUAUAGUACGAAUUACAUAGUGUAUCUGGUAGCCAUGCCUGAAUUUCUUUGGGAAUUCAGUGAAGCGACGAUGUAACACCAGAUUAUUCUUGCAGUACUUCUUAUCUGAUGCAAAUCAGAAACAGGUGCAGGUAGGCAGUUCGGCUGGGGCGGCACCCCUUUGAAAAGAUAUCAAAGGGGCCCAAAGUUUAGUUCAAACGGGUCAGAAAUCCGUUGAAGAGGGCAAAGCCAAAAACUAGACUGACAGGAUUUCCAAACGCACGGAAUUCUGAGACGAAAGUCUGGCUUAGCGAUCCUUCGUGUGCCCACUAUUGGGGCCCGGAGGUGACAGAAAAAUUACCCCAGGGAUAACAGGCUCGUCGCGGGCGAGAGCUCCUAUCGACCCCGCGGUUUGGUACCUCGAUGUCGGCUUUUCCUAUCCUGGUCCUGCAGCAGGGGCCAAGGGUGAGGCUGCUCGCCUAUUAAAAGGGAACAUGAGCUGGGUUUAGACCGUCGUGA